UUCGGGCAAGUGAAAGUGGCGGACGGGUGAGUAACGCGUAGGAACCUACCUUUGGGUACGGGAUAACUCAGGGAAACUUGUGCUAAUACCGUAUGAUGCCUCCGGGCCAAAGAUUUAUCGCCCAUAGAUGGGCCUGCGUCGGAUUAGGUAGUUGGUGGGGUAAAAGCCUACCAAGCCUGCGAUCCGUAGCUGGUCUGAGAGGAUGAUCAGCCACACUGGGACUGAGACACGGCCCAGACUCC
rnacentral:rRNA from 1 species